rnacentral:rRNA from 1 species
UACGUAGGGGGCAAGCGUUGUCCGGAAUCAUUGGGCGUAAAGAGCGCGUAGGCGGCCCGAUAAGUCCGCUGUGAAAGUCAAGGGCUUAACCCUUGAAUGCCGGUGGAAACUGUCGGGCUAGAGUCCGGAAGAGGAGAGUGGAAUUCCUGGUGUAGCGGUGAAAUGCGCAGAUAUCAGGAAGAACACCCGUGGCGAAGGCGGCUCUCUGGGACGGUACUGACGCUGAGACGCGAAAGCGUGGGGAGCGAACAGG